CACCUGGUUGGGAGGUUUGUUCCACUGAAGCAACCAGUCUAAAAUCGUAAUGUUUCUGCUGUAGAACGCACGUAGGGUUUCGACAUUUGUCUACAGGUUUCGUUCACACCUCAUCCGUCUAUUCGUUUCUGACAAAGGGUCUUUUCGCAGAUACGCUCGUAGUGUGCGGGUCGACUAGGGGGCUGGAAAAAGCUCUUUCCUCGUAGACAAGCGUUUCUGUCACGAACAGAGGUUCCUCAUUCUGCGACAGAAACGCAGCGUUACAGUUUUGAUGGAUGACCAAAGAACCCGCUUCUUGUUUUUUCUCUGAGUGGUUCCCGCGAGCUGCAUGUGUAGCAUUUUGUAGAUCAAAAUCUGUGAAAGCUCCAAAACACCUACCCGGUCAAUUUGUGCCUCUGCGGAAAGCAACGCUGUGAAUCUUCCAGUGCGUCAUCCUUUGUUCCAGAUAUUAUAGUAUCUUUGCAAAAUAUAAGACUAGUCAUUCGUUUCAAAAAACGUUGAGCGAGUUUGCUUCGCCUGGGUAUGCUGCUGCCUGAUAAGCUGAGAGUAUAGAAAGCGCUUUAUCAACUUCAAGAGCGUCGACACACUGCUGAUUCAAAUCUCAAUUUGUGCGGUUGUCAAACGUUUUUUUCCCUCUGCUGUGGAGAGGCAGAGACUACACCUUUUUCUCCAUGGAUAGAGGGUUUUAAGUGAACUGGGAGAUCACAAAUGCACCAUUUUUUACCGUUUUGGUGAUACGACGACAUAACCCUAACCUAAAAGCAGAAGACAGAUGCGUUGCUUUUGUGGACUGAGAUGUCUCAUGUGGUGUACCAACCACAUUCAAGAGAACUCUCCACUGGUGAGGUAGUUCUUUCUCUUGUUUGUCUGGCUCUUGGUUGGCGGUGCGUAAAUGCAGGAAUAGCAGUUAACCAGUGCGAGCGUCACUUUCUAUCGUACCCCCCGUCGUGUUGUCUUUUUCAAGAGUUGAGAAACGUUUUUCUGCUUCGAUAGCCCGAAAGAGGAAAUGCCCCAAUGCGAUUGCCAGUUCUUG
rnacentral:lncRNA from 1 species